rnacentral:ncRNA from 1 species
CCCGAAAGAUGGUGAACUAUGCCUGAGCGGGGCGAAGCCAGAGGAAACUCUGGUGGAGGCUCGAAGCGAUACUGACGUGCAAAUCGUUCGUCUGACUUGGGUAUAGGGGCGAAAGACUAAUCGAACGAUCUAGUAGCUGGUUCCCUCCGAAGUUUCCCUCAGGAUAGCUGGAGCCCAUUACGAGUUCUAUCAGGUAAAGCCAAUGAUUAGAGGCAUUGGGGACGCAACGUCCUCGACCUAUUCUCAAACUUUAAAUAGGUAGGAUGGCUCGGC